CAGCUUGACGUUGUGCAACGGAGCAUGCAUGUGAGUGAAAUAUGGAGUCUCUGAGAUUGAGGCUGCCUGCCUCUCUUCUCACGUUUUUUCUAGCUGCUAAGAGUGGUGAGUAUCUUGGUUCGGGCUAGAUUAAGCAGUUAGUCUCUGCAGCGCUCAAGGAACGUCUUCUCAAGGACUUCGGCGAGUACGAAACAGCCGUCGAUUUCCGUAUUGAGGGAGACAGCCACAAAUAUGCCAAAAUAAUUGCAAGUUGGUCAUAUCUGUGCAGUUACAAUUGCAGCUACGAUGGUGCGCAUAGUUUGGGGAAAGUAUACUAUUGAUUGGUAUCAAGUUCAGGAUUUGUUUCGUUCUCGGGCGUGGAUUCACUCGAUGCAGAUUUGUGGUUUCAUCAAUUUGUUUCAUUGAUAUCGAGAACUCGCAAACAUCGCCGGCACGAAUUAAUCAUGAUGUUC
rnacentral:sRNA from 2 species